CGCUAGUAGUAGCAGAAAAUUUAUUAGGGAUAAGCUUAAUAUUUUAUACUUAUAUGAUAAUAGGAGUAGUAUUAUAAAAGGAUUAAUAGUGUCUUUUUGUUUUGUAACUUAUUGGUAUCUUAUACACAUUAGUUAGUUAUAUAAGGGUAUACUAAAAUUUUUUUUGUUAGCAAUAAUGGUAGAAUUAGUAGAUUUGAUAGUAGUAUGUAAAUUAGGUAAGCUAUUUAAGGUAGGUUUUCUAAGGGAUUUUGGUAAGGAACUCGGCAAAAAUGCUUCUUAACUGUUUAUCAAAAACAUUUCUUUAAGUAAGGAUUUAAAGUAUAUUCUGCCCCCUGAUUAAUCUAUUAAAUGGCCGCAGUAGCCUGACUGUGCUAAGGUAGCAUAAUCAUUAGGUUCUUGAUUGGGAUCUGGUAUGAAGGAAUGAAUAAGGAGCAGCUGUCUACCAAUAUGUUUUGAAUUUAAAAUUUUAGUAAGAAUGCUGGAAUNAGGCUAGUGGGACGAUAAGACCCUAUAAAGCUUUACUAAUUCUGAUUAAAAAUUUUUACUACUUUUAUUAAGGGNUUUAGUUUGACUGGGGCGGUAGCUAAUUAACUUAGUUAGAUUUCUUCUUUUUAGGAUCCAUCAUUGAUGAAAUAAGAUUAAGUUACUUUAGGGAUAACAGCAUAAUAUAUCUAUGGAGUUCUAAUCGAAGGAUAUGGUUGUGACCUCGAUGUUGAAUUAACCUUAUUGUAAGGUGUAGAAGCUUUAUGAGUUAGUCUGUUCGACUAUUGAAGGGUUACGUGAUUUGAGUUCAAACCGGUUUGAGCCAGGUUGGUUUCUAUCUACUGGGUUUAAAAAGUCUUUUAGUACGAAAGGACCAAAGAUUUUAGAUUGUCUAUAUAAGAUAGAAUUGGUUAAUUUUAGGCUUAUG
rnacentral:rRNA from 1 species